UUCAAUUUGGUUGGAAGGUAUUGGUGAAGGAAAAAACAAAAAGCUGAAUGUUGAAUAACUGUGAUAUCCUUUUCUUUCCUGAAUUUGUUGUUGUAAAAUAUCUUGCGUAUACAGGAUAUGUUCACCGUAACAUAGGAAAAUUCAUGGAGUAUGAUUUCCUCAUCCAAAUUUGGUGCUUUAAGUCCACCCAUACUGGAUGGUAAGCAUGAAUGCAUGGAUUGCCUACAAGUUGUGGCGG
rnacentral:misc_RNA from 1 species